GACGAACGCUGGCGGCGUGCUUAACACGUGCAAGUCGAACGGAAAGGCCCUGCUUUUGUGGGGUGCUCGUGUGGCGAACGGGUGAGUAACACGUGAGUAACCUGCCCUUGACUUUGGGAUAACUUCAGGAAACUGGGGCUAAUACCGGAUAGGAGCUCCUGCUGCAUGGUGGGGGUUGGAAAGUUUCGGCGGUUGGGGAUGGACUCGCGGCUUAUCAGCUUGUUGGUGGGGUAGUGGCUUACCAAGGCUUUGACGGGUAGCCGGCCUGAGAGGGUGACCGGCCACAUUGGGACUGAGAUACGGCCCGGACUCCUACGGGAGGCAGCAGUGGGGAAUAUUGCACAAUGGGCGGAAGCCUGAUGCAGCAACGCCGCGUGCGGGAUGACGGCCUUCGGGUUGUAAACCGCUUUCGCCUGUGACGAAGCGUGAGUGACGGUAAUGGGUAAAGAAGCACCGGCUAACUACGUG
rnacentral:rRNA from 1 species